AAUAUUAGUUACUGUGUUUGUCAGUGGGUUCUUGUGCACUUGGCUUGACUACUGUUUAUGUGGAGCAGAUUGGAAAGGGAUUAACUCUUGUAGAGGGUAAAGAUGUUGCUUUGCUUGGGUAUGGUACAAUGGUUCAGAACUGCCUCAGAGCUCAGACCCUUCUUUCAAAGCUUGGCAUUGAGGUAACUGUUGCUGAUGCAAGAUUCUGCAAGCCACUUCACAUGAAGCUUCUCAGACAGUUAUGCAAAAAUCAUGCCUUUCUGGUCACAGUCGAGGAAGGCUCUAUUGGAGGAUUUGGGUCCCAUGUUUCACAGUUCAUUGCCCUUGAUGGGCAGCUUGAUGGAAGAACGUAGUGGCGGCCAAUUGUAUUACCAGACAAUUACAUUGAACAUGCAUUGCCAAAUGAACAGCUUGCUCUUUCUGGGCUGACUGGACAUCAUAUUGCUGCAACAGUGCUAAGACUGCUUGGUCGCUCCCGUGAAAAAGAGAGCUGGAAACGGAAGAAGCGAAAGGUGAUGCUAGUAUACACAGGCCAUUUGACUGAAUUUUUUUUUUUUUUUGUAACCUGCAGUUGGUUUAUGAGUUAUGAACGUAAAAUUAGAUUUUCAAUUGUAUAGAAUUGACAAAUGAAAACACAUGUAUGUAACAUUUAGAGCAUCUGUCAUUGCAUUCAUCUUGA